rnacentral:rRNA from 1 species
CGGCGUGCCUAACACAUGCAAGUCGAACGGAACUGUUUUGAAAGAUUUCUUCGGAAUGAAUUUGAUUUAGUUUAGUGGCGGACGGGUGAGUAACGCGUGAGUAACCUGCCUUCAAGAGGGGGAUAACAUUCUGAAAAGAAUGCUAAUACCGCAUGAUAUAUCGGAACCACAUGAUUUUGAUAUCAAAGAUUUUAUCGCUUGAAGAUGGACUCGCGUCCGAUUAGUUAGUUGGUGAGGUAACGGCUCACCAAGACCGCGAUCGGUAGCCGGACUGAGAGGUUGAACGGCCACAUUGGGACUGAGACACGGCCCAGACCCCUACGGGAGGCAGCAGUGGGGGAUAUUGCGCAAUGGGGGCAACCCUGACGCAGCAACGCCGCGUGAAGGAUGAAGGUUUUCGGAUUGUAAACUUCUUUUAUUAAGGACGAAAAUUGACGGUACUUAAUGAAUAAGCUCCGGCUAACUACGUGCCAGCAGCCGCGGUAAUACGUAGGGAGCAAGCGUUGUCCGGAUUUACUGGGUGUAAAGGGUGCGUAGGCGGCUUUGCAAGUCAGAUGUGAAAUCUAUGGGCUCAACCCAUAAACUGCAUUUGAAACUGUAGAGCUUGAGUGAAGUAGAGGCAGGCGGAAUUCCCCGUGUAGCGGUGAAAUGCGUAGAGAUGGGGAGGAACACCAGUGGCGAAGGCGGCCUGCUGGGC